CCCGCUGAACUUAAGCAUAUCAAUAGAGCGGAGGAAAAGAAACUAACAAGGAUUCCCCUAGUAACGGCGAGUGAAGCGGGAACAGCUCAAAUUUGAAACCUGGCGUCCUUAGGGCGUCCCGAUUGUAUUCUAGAGAAGCGUCUUCCACUCUGGUCCACGUAUAAGCGUCCUGGAACGGGCUGUCAUAGAGGGUGAGAGUCCCGUCCUUGACGUGGGCUACCAGCGUUUUUGUGAUGCGCUUUCUAAGAGUCGAGUUGUUUGGGAAUGCAGCUCAAAGUGGGUGGUAAAUUCCAUCUAAAGCUAAAUAUUGGCCUGAGAUCGAUAGCGAACAAGUACCGUGAGGGAAAGAUGAAAAGCACUUUGAAAAGAGAGUCAAACAGUACGUGAAAUUGCUGAAAGGGAAACGCUUGAAGUCAGUCGCGAGACCUGGAAUUCAGCCCCGCGUUUGUAGUGUGUACUUUCCAGGGGGCGGGCCAACAUCAGUCUUGACCGGCAGAUAAAGGCUGGGGGAAUGUGGCUCCUUCGGGAGUGUUAUAGCCCCUGGUCACAUAUGCCGGUUGGGACUGAGGAACGCAGCGCGCCCUUGUGGCAGGCCGUCGGGCACUUUCGCGCUUAGGAUGUUGGCAUAAUGGCUUUAAUCGACCCGUCUUGAGACACGG
rnacentral:rRNA from 1 species